UACGAAGGGGGCUAGCGUUGUUUCGGAAUUACUGGGCGUAAAGCGCACGUAGGCGGACAUUUAAGUCAGGGGUGAAAUCCCAGAGCUCAACUCUGGAACUGCCUUUUGAUACUGGGGUGUCUUGAGUAUGGAAGAGGUGAGUGGAAUUCCGAGUGUAGAGGUGAAAUUCGUAGAUAUUCGGAGGAACACCAGUGGCGAAGGCGGCUCACUGGUCCAUUUACUGACGCUGAGGUGCGAAAGCGUGGGGAGCAAACAGG
rnacentral:rRNA from 1 species